ensembl:lncRNA
GGCUCAGAUUCCACCCCAAGUCUCUGUGACUCCACGAUGGACUGAAUUCCACAUACGGAAAGGCAUUAUCACCCCACCUGGAUUUAUUUUAAAACAGACUUUAUUUUGCAGAGCAGAGCAGUUAUAGGUUCACAGCAAAACAGCAGAAGGUACAGAGAUUUCCCAUAUACCCCCUGCCCUCCCCACAUGCACACUCUCCCCCACCAGAUGGACCAGAGUGGUACAUUUGUUACAACUGAUGAACCUACACUGACACAUCGUAAUCCCCCAAAGUCCACAGUUUACAUUAGGGUUCACUCUUGGUGGUGUAUGUUCCGUGGGUUUGGACAAAUGUCUAAUGACACAUAUGCACCAUUACAGUAUCACACAGAGUAGUUUGCCCUAAAAAUCCUCUGCGCUCCGCCUAUUCAUCCCUCCCUCCCCACUAACCCCUGACAACCACUGAUCUUCUUACUGUCUCCGUAGUUUUGCCUUUUCCAGUAGGUCAUAUAGUUGGAAUCAUACAGCACAUAGCCUUUUCAGUUGGCUCCUUUCACUUAUUGAUAUGCACACUUAAGUUUCCUCCAUGUGUUUUCAUGGCUUGAUAGCUCAUUUCUUUUUGGCAUUGAAUAAUAUUCCAUUGUUUGGAUGUACCACAAUUUAUUUGGCCAUUCACCUACUGAGUCAUGGGAUUUUUAAAACAUUCCGGUGUGGUUCCUACUGAAAAUAGAGAUAGCCACAGGGACCGGUCUUUCUCUUCUGGACCCCGUACCUGCCUCCUCACUCCUGCAACCCAUAUGGCACCUGCCAUGGGGGUGCCCCUUGGCCUGCCUCCUCUAGGCAUCAUUUCAGCAGCCUGGAAACCAGCUCUUCCUCCAGGAUGAGCUCUAGGGCCAAUCUGAGGAGAGCUCACACGUGCGCAUUGACCAGAAAAUCAGGAUGUUCCCUUUUCCCUCCUUGCCCAUGAUGCUCUCAGGUUUGCUCUCCAACCCCCAAAAUAGUCAUUCCUAAUAUGUCUCACCAGUUACCACGCAGGUUUUUUUAAUUCCUUCCAUCCAUCCAUUCGCCCAACAAGUAUUUAUUGAGCACCUACUGUAUGUUGGUGGUAGAUGGUAAGUCUUUAGAGGACACUGAAUGUGUUUAUCUAAGUUUGCAUGCAUUGUUAUACCCAUGACAGCCCCUCACUCCAUUAAUAAAUACUUUUUGAUGGCUAGGGAGUGGUGCGUGGGGAGAUAAAGACAAAGACAAACAGAGUGAGUGACUAAAAAUAAGCCUGUGAGACCACCUGAAUUCACUGUUAUCAUCAAAUUAUAAUAUCAUUAUUAAAUACAUUAUAAUUACAAACGUUUUAUUAUGAUAAGAACCCUAAUAUAGCACUUUCUGUGUUUUAGGACCUAAGUGCUUUUACAUAAAUGGUCAGUCUACUUGCCGCCUGAAAAGGCUGCACAGGCUGAAAUAUAAAUAGAUUAAAGAAAGUUUCAAACAAAUUCCUGGAGGGCAGAUCUAUAACAAGUUAUUAAAGUGGAGUUAGGAACAACCAGGGCGCAUUCCUAACCAAUGAGAAUGAUGUCAUGAAGGGUAAGUGCCAUAAUCCAGCCCACGCCAUCUUAGCGGCUCCAUCGGAGGCAGGGGCUCAAGUGGGCCAGAGCUCAGGGCUGACCCAGCCGGCCAUUGCUAAGCAGUUACUAUGGAACUGGAUUCACCCAGGGACCCCUGAGCCUCCACUAUGCUGGGAGCCUGUCAAAUGGCUUCUCCUCCACCCUUUCACCUCUGUCAGGCGAGCAGCUGUGUGCGUCGUCUUCUCACAUCUCUCCCCCCAACAAAAGAACCACAUUACUUUGUGUCAUCCAGUGAGUCACUGGCACGGUUGGGAACAGACCCAGGAUUCCUGCUCCUUUCUUUGCUGGGGCCGUUUGCUGGAGAUCACAAUCCUUCCACAUUAGUGGCCAGUUACAUUUACGGCUCUUAACAACAUUAAAUGGGGCUUCUGAGAUAGGAAGAUGAUGGGAAGUGAAGGCUGGGAGAUAAAAAGUCAAAACCUGAAACGACACACAAGAUUUUGAUUACUGAAGGUUUAAAAAUGGCAAUCCAACCCAUCCUGUCAUUCCAUUGGGAAGUGGUUCCUAGGUCUGGGAAGGAAUAACCCCCUCCCCUAUCUUGAGACUGUAUGGAAGAGAAAAGAAAGGGGAAGAAGGCAUAGCCAGGGGUCCUCAGAAAUUGUAUUCUCCAAUUCUUCCCUACAGUUUCAUCUCUAUACUUACUUCAAGUCGCCAUUUGUCUUCCUUUCUAUCGUGUAAAUGGCGUGUUACAGUUUACCAUGCACAUUUACGCCCACGGUUCCACCUGAGACUCAUAACAGAGGUGUGAUCAUGGAAAGAGCAGUGGGCUGGAAGUCAGGUGACUAGGACUCUCUACCUAACAGGCCAUGUGACCCCAGGCAGGUCACCUCACCUGCACCUCAGUCCCUUAGUUAUAAAACAGGGGCUGGCCUGGUUGGCCUGAAGGUCUCAUACUGCUCUAAGCUUCCAUGUCUGUACGUCCAAGCCAAGUGCAAGGGAACAAGCCGCUGACCUCACGGCUGAGGCCGUCUGUGGUUUUCUCCAUCUCCUCCUGAGGUUGUGGUGGGAACACACACCAGGGGUUUGGUCACAGGCUCCAGAAAACCUGGCAGUACAGGAAGGGCAGCGGGCAGUGACUCCCAUUGAUAGAGGAGACAGGAGCAGGGGACACAAAGGAGAGCUCUGUGGCGGCUGGAGACUGGGUAUGAAAGAGGGGGGUCAGUUUAAAUGUCUCCCAGGGGUGAGCCAGGGGCGGAAGGUGCUCCUGGUAGACCGGGCAUGUGUGGCCUGAGGAUGGGGCUGUGACACUCAGCCAAGGACCAACAAUGAUUGUCGGAAGAUAACAGUGGCUUCAGGUCACCCACUUGGCUCCGUUUCCAGCACAUAGGCACCAUCAUUUUGUUUAAAACUUUGAGAAGCUGUUGUUGUCUCUAAUUUGUUUUUGGCAUGAAAAUGCUGUUCCAACAGGAAAUUUUCUGUUGCUUUACAGAGGAGAUUAUGAUGGAGGAGAAACAAGGUAUUUCUUCUGCACUUGGGUGGAGCUGGCUGCUGGUGUGCCAGAUGGGGAUGCUUUAAGAGGGAUGCCCUCUCUGGUUUCAAGAGAGAAAAGAGAGUCAAGGGUAGGCCUGGCAGGGCUGGGCCUAGGGUGAGGCGAGUGAGGUGCUUAGGGUGGAAACGCAGGAUGAGCACCUGCAACAGGGCACCUUCUCACCUGCCUGACCCUCCUUCUCCAGGGAUCUUCUGGGGUGGAGUGGGUCACUGGGUCAGAGGCCCUGGGAUUGCAUUAAAAGGGAAAAAGCAGGUUCUAGGGGACUCAACAUACCCCGAAUAAGACAUAGAUUUCAUAGCCCAUCUUCGUCACCAAAACACAGACUCAGAGUCCAGCUGACCUGGGAAUGACUUCCUGUUUGCCAUUCUUUAGCUGUGUAACCUAGGGAAACACAUUUAGAUUUCCUUCUUUGUCAGUAAAAUGGGGCAAUUAAUAUCAACCUCAGAGGGGCGGGCGAUAGGGUUAAACGAGGGGGACAAAGAGGAUAAUGAAAACACCUGCCACAUAGUAAACCUCAGUAAAUUGUUAGCUCCCUGUGAGGCUAUUGCGACAGGGCUGAAAGAUCCAGCUGUAAGAUCGAACCUCUGGAAAUUUCGCAGGCAGUAUUAGCAUAAGAGGAGGGUUUGGGGACCAGUUCAGGAAUUUCAGACCCAGAGUUAAAUAACUUGCUGCAGGUCACAUGACUAAUGGCAGAGUUCGGACACAGAUAAAUGGGCCAAGCUGCCCUAAAUUGAUGGAUUAUAUACAUAAACAUUCAAAGCACAGCCUUUCUCUACGAGCAGAGAUAUAAGCAUACGGGGAGCAGCUGGAAGUGAAGGGAUAGGGAGUCAAGGGCCAUAGAAAACUUCCUGACUUUUGAGUAAGGAUGAGAUUCCGGUUAAUCACAGAGGGCUUCCAGGAGGAGGUUCUGAGGCUUCGGGGAGCUUCCAAUGAGGUUCAGGUGCUCUUCUUUUUUUCAACAUCAUCUUAGCCAACACUUCUCCGGACAAAGAGAUAUAAGACAAGUUCUGCCUCCACGGGUGAGCGAGAGCAGUCAUCGCUCUAGAUCUUUCACGAUCCAAGGCCUGGUCCCUUUAAGACAUCGAAACUCAGUGAACGUUCUACGGAGGCCUCGCGGCCUCCCCGAGGCGCGCUGACGUCAUCCUUCGGGGAAGCGGCUGACGUCAGCGCGUCCUCGGCGAGGGGGGCGGGGCCGUGACUCACCCGCACCCCGUCCCGCGGGGCGCACGUGAGCGCGCCGCGCGCUCGGCGCUAAUUUUAGCUCGGGCUGCCUCCGGGGGGUCGGGCGAGGUCUAGGCGGGCAGGGGGCUCCUGGCGGGCUGGGGGCGCGGUGCUCUCCCGUGUCUUGCUGCGCCGCCGUCGGUGCCCCUGGAGCGGCGGGCCCGGCCCGAGGGGUGGCGCCCCGCGGCGACUGAAUAGCGCUUCCGGAGGCUGGGCCCGAAGGGUGCGCUCCGCGUGCGGCCCGGCCCCGAGCCCGCCAGGCCUCAGGUGGGCGCUCCCUCCUGGAUGGCGACUCGGGACUUCCCAGAGAGGGCCAACGUUCUGGAAAGUUCCCUGGUGGCUGGGGUGCGAUGUGGGCUGAAGUCAGCACAGCAGCGGGGCUCGGCGAGGGCUCGGCGGGCGGAGUGGACCGAGCCUGUCGGGACGACAGCCCUCAGGGGCGGCCGUGGGGCGGGCUCCGGGCGCUUGGCCGUCGGGGCGGGUGGGGGGCGCCCGGGACCCCCCAGCGAGUCGCCAAGCCCGAAUUCGGCGCGGCGGUGGGAGGGACGCCGCCCUCCGCGGUGUGAAGGGCGGUGGCCGUUCUAGGGUCGGGCCAAGCUCUGGGGCCUGAAGGUCAGCGGUUGAGAAGCCAACGCUGAUGUCACAGAGCCCAGGCGCUCGGUCCCGAGCCGCGCGGGGACCAAGGUGACCUUCCAGAUAGAAGCUUCGUUUUAAGGAAAGCAGUGCCGGACACCUUGUGAAAUGGACACUCUCCUGUGCUUUGGGAAGCUACUAGAAGGGGGUGUUCUAUCGAAAUGAGAGAGGAAACCAAGAGGAAAGCAUGAUGUGCUCAAACCAGGGGCUCCAACUAGCGUUGCAAAGGAAUAGAGGUGAAUUAAACAUCAAGAGCUCACAAAUGAAAAGUCUUGGGAAGUCAACUUGUGAAGUAGGAAGGCAGAAGAAGAAGAGGAUAAAUAGUUUCAUCCUCUCCCUGUUGAUGGUGUUAGGGAAGAAGCUAUGCCCUUGCAUCUUGGUAAACAAGAUCUCUCAAGGAUGUCACUUCACUGUUUUCACCAUAGUGUGAGCUCCUCUUUGGCUUCACAGUGGAGGAUAAGUUCCCUGCGUUGGCUGCCUCUUGGAGUCACUGUCUGACACAAGUUCUCCACAGGGAAGUGAGAGGACUGUCCUUAUCUGAAGGAGAGGGCGUCCAUCAGCUCACAGCUAGAUGUUCUGCGACCACCUUCUCAGCAACUGUAGAGGUUGGAGCCGCCGUAUCUGCCUCACUCGGGAUUGCAGGUCCUCGGCGUGGGCGUGGCACAGACCGGGUGAGGCCACUGAGGCACAGAGAGGCAGUUGGACUCACAGUCACCCAGCUGAGGUGACAGAACCAGGAUCGGGAGGCUGGCUCCCAAGUCUACACGCUUAACCACUUGCUCUUCCCCGCCUUUGUGCUGGUCACACAACGAUGCCAAAAACCGCUUUGGGGAGCAUUUUGCCUUUAGCUGGCCUCUAUCUUGUUGACCACCCUCCUUCCACCUGCUUCCCACUCCCUGAGGUCAUUUUAUGGCUAAAUGAAUCCCAACUAAAUACUAACUCUGAGGAGGGUCCCG